rnacentral:lncRNA from 1 species
CCAGGAUCUGAGCCACAGAACAGGGGAAGAAAUCAAUCUGUAUUACUCAGCUAGGGCUGCCAUAUAAAAUAUCAUCGACUGAGUGACUGAAACAACACACAUCUACUUCUCACAACUACGGAGGCCAAAAGCCCACCAUCAAGGUACCGGCAAGCGUUCAGUUUCCUUUAAUGACCCCCAUCUCCCGGAA